GUGGCGAGAAUGCCCGGAGCGCGCACCCCGUCACCCUCUCUAAACCCGGGCGCGGCUGCUCGGAGCUCGAGGUCCUGAGCAGAGCCCCGCGCCUCCCUCGGAGCGGGUGAGCGCCCCGGGUCCUCCGCAGGGGCCCUAGCGGGGUCGCCGACAGCCCACCCCGCGGCGCGCACCCUGACCCGGCCCCGCCCCCCAGCGGCCGCGAGUGGCGGGCGGAGCGCGCGGAGAGGCUCGCCGGGCUGUGCGGCGCCGCCUCUCCUCCGUGCCGGGGGAGGGACGGACGGGCCGGGCGGGAGAGAGAGAAAGCCCAAGCGCCCGGCUGGCGAGGAGCUGCAUGCAACCGGUGGGAGGCCGGGCCGACUGGCGCUGGGGCUGGGGCUCAGGCUGUUUCUCGGCGGGUCCCGGGCGGCGAGCGCGGACGGCCCGGAGGCGGCGGCUCUGAGCUGGCAGGCGGAGGGUUGUCUCCUGCGCCCGCCUGCCCGGCGCGGUCCGAGGAUGCGGGGGGGCGAUGCCCGGGGCCAGGGACGCGCUCUGUCACCAGGCGCUGCAGCUGCUGGCCGAGCUCUGUGCUCGUGGGGCCCUGGAGCACGACAGCUGCCAGGAUUUCAUCUACCACCUGCGCGACCGCGCCAGACCCCGGCUCCGCGACCCAGAUAUCUCAGUGAGCCUGCUGACCCUUGUGGUCACUGCCUGUGGCCUCGCCCUCUUUGGUGUGUCUCUCUUCGUGUCCUGGAAACUCUGCUGGGUUCCGUGGCGAGAACGAGGGCUGCUUUCUGGUGGCAAAGACAACAACCAGGAGCAUCUUAACCACACGGACACAGAGACCAAUGAGCAGGAGAACAGCGAGGACAUCCUAGACCCUCCCACCCCCUGUCCUGACGCCUCCAUGAAGUUCAGCCACACCUCCCCUGACAUUCCCCUCUCUGCCCAGGCAGAGGAUCAGGAGAACUAUGCCCAUGGCAUCCGUGUACAGCGCCAAGUCACAGAGCCAACCUCAUCAGCUCGGCAUAAUUCACUCCGAAGACAGCUCAACCUGUCAAACCCGGACUUCAAUAUCCAGCAGCUUCAAAAACAGGAACAGUUGACUGGAAUUGGUCGAAUUAAGCCAGAGUUAUAUAAGCAGAAGUCAUUGGAUAAUGAUGAUGGGAAAAGGGGUAACAGCAAAGCCUGUGGGAAACUGAACUUCAUUUUAAAAUAUGACUGUGACUUAGAGCAGCUCAUAGUGAAGAUUCACAAAGCUGUCAAUUUGCCCGCCAAGGACUUUUCUGGGACUUCAGAUCCUUACGUCAAGAUCUAUUUGCUUCCUGAUCGGAAAACAAAACACCAGACUAAAGUUCACAGAAAGACCCUGAACCCUGUGUUUGAUGAAGUGUUUUUGUUUCCAGUUUCAUACAAUGACCUUGCUGCACGGAAGCUUCACUUCUCUGUGUAUGACUUUGACAGGUUCUCUCGCCAUGACUUAAUUGGCCAAGUGGUAGUGGAGCACUUCUUAGACUUGGCUGAUUUCCCCAGGGAGUGCAUCCUUUGGAAGGAUAUCGAAUAUGUCACCAAUGACAACGUGGAUCUUGGAGAGUUGAUGUUUUCCCUCUGCUAUCUUCCAACGGCUGGCAGGCUGACCAUUACCAUUAUAAAAGCAAGAAAUUUAAAGGCAAUGGACAUAACAGGAGCCUCAGAUCCCUAUGUGAAAGUCUCCCUGAUGUGUGAUGGCAGACGUAUGAAAAAGAGGAAAACGUCCACCAAGAGGAACACUCUGAAUCCUGUUUACAACGAAGCCAUAGUCUUUGACGUCCCUCCUGAGAACAUCGACCAGAUCCACUUGUCCAUAGCAGUCAUGGACUACGACCGGUCACAAUGAGAUCAUCGGCGUGUGUCAAGUAGGGAAUGAAGCUGAAAGGCUGGGCAGAGACCACUGGAGUGAGAUGUUGUCGUAUCCUCGGAAGCCCAUUGCACACUGGCAUUCUCUGGUGGAGAAACGAUGACUAUGGGUAAGAGGACUACUAGUGCCAAGACACAGUAGGACAACAAUCUUACAAAGAUCUUCAGUAACUUUUCCCAUCCAGCAACACCCAGAAGACUCCAGUGACCAAAGGCUGAGCUGUAACCACAGCAAUAACUGGCCCUCUUUGCAGACUGGGUUUGGUGAGCACGAAUGGUCCAGCCAUCUUCAGUGACCCAAGGUGGUGUGUGCAGGGGAAGCACGUCUCUCACGGCCAAGAACCAAGAUCAGACUAUGGAAGAAACCAACUGGUGUAGUGAGAGGACUGAGAGUACCUGGCAUACCAGGGCUCUCAGAGAUUAACAUAAGCACCUGCCCUGGCAACGUCACACUGACAGGAUGCCGUUUGCUUGAGUGCCCUGGAAGGAUGGAAUAUUUAAAAAUAUAUCCAGGUGCUAAAUAGGCAGCAGAUCUAAUUCACACUGGACUACCUUUGAGCUAAUAACUGUCUCCAGAAAAUCAUUUCGCCCCAAGACAUACUCCAGCCCAACAAGGAAUAACCCGAGGAGGGCCAUAGGAUGAGAUUCUGUUCCCCUGGAGCAAUCUAGUGCAAGGAUUUAAAGAAAAUCUCCAGCAAAUUCACUGCCCCCUCCCAUUCACAUGGCGGAGAGUACCAGUUGACCAUGGCCCUUUCUUCUGCUAACCCCAGAUUCUAAGGAGUCAGAUCCCCAACAGUGCUUUCCAGAUAGCCAGCAGCCACUUCCUUUCCACUGGUUUGGCAUUAGAAUGAAAGUUCAUUGUCAUCCCUGUUAGAGAGACAUACAUCUCAAUGGCAGAAGCAUUCUGGAUACCUUUUCCCCAAAUAUUUAUCCACUGAGCGAACAGCCUCAGAAACAGACGUCCCGUUGUAUGAGACGAGUUGAUGGAGAGGUAACACAGCCUCCCCUGAGGGAAGGCACAACUUUUGGGCCUUCUUGGCCUGAGAGCCUUCUGGAGUAUUUCCAUAUCCAACAGCCCAGAGGCAUAGCUGUGGGGAGCCACAGUCAGGUUUCCUUUUCGCUUCUAGACACAUGUAUCACUUUCACAGCACUUGGCAAGUGGAAAUAUCUGUAAGAAUGAAAGUCAAGGGCUCUUUCCAGGUAUCUCAUUCAUUGCUCAACUUCCUUUGUGACUGCUUUCGCCAACCCAUUGGCAGCUCUACUUCUCGUCGUCAUUGCUUCUGCCUCCAUGAACUGAAACCAAAGGCCUGAGUGCACCCAGGGGAGGAACACUAUUACCUAGUGGUAGUCUCUCUCCCGUUCUGGGUGCAAAGUACCCUGCCCGCACUUUUGUGCCAGUUCUCCAAGAUGCAUUUCCCCUUUUAUACAUUCCCUUUGCAGUGGAAUCCAGACUUGGAUUGUAGUUGACCUUCCUGGGAAGUUCAUUAUCUUCAUUUGAAUUAACAUUUCAGUGUGGGACUGACUGGGUGGAAGCAGGGUCAUUGCAUGUCUUCAGAAAAUUCUUGUCGCCACAGCUGCCUGGUGCAAAAAACUACCCUGUCACAUCUAAAAAGGAUGGAGGCUUUUGGCUGUGGGAGACAGUGUUACUACACUCUAGCUUCACAUGUUCCCCAGCCUGCCCAGUCCAUUUCCAUCUCUGAUUGGCUUUCGACCACCAGGAUCCAAGAGAACGCAAGGCCCUGCCUAUGUCUGAUGACAUGAGAAGAAUUCAACUUUCUUGGCCGAAGGUUGGCCUGUGCCUAUUUCUGCCUUUCCUGCCUAAUACUCUCUUUCAUCAUCCUUGACUCAGACAUCCUCUGCCGUCCCAGUGUUUUGAACCAAAGCGUGAGGACUAGUGCCAGUAAGAGAGUUAGCAGAGAUAUCCUCUCUAGAGCCAGGCAGAUAAGCUCAGAAGAAUGGUCCCAGAGAAAUAAGACCAGCCCCAUUAGAUAUCAAGCAGCCAUCCCAAUAAACUUGGGCAUGUCCUUGGCACAGGGAACCUGCCUAGGAGAUCGUGGGGCAGCUAUGCCUGUUGUUUGCCCUCAAGGUCUUCUUGCCCAGAGAGUGAGCAGCCCUGGGGUACUGAGUAUGUUACUGGCUGCUUGUUUGAAGCAGAAGGUGGCUUUGUAGGGACCAGCAGCAAAUAGGCCUGCCCACAUGGCUUUGUGUCUAGAAAGCUUUGCCUAGCCAGUCCAGCUGUGGCCAGAGGCCAGUUAUAAAUCUGAACCCCCUGAGACCAUCUGCACCUCUGCCUCUCUUCUCUUGUGUUCUGUUUGGUUUCCCUUUAGUUUCCUAGUAAAUGCUCCUUUUGAAAAAUUCCAA